ACUAAUCACAAACUUUGCAACUUGCUCACUCACUUAAAACACACACACUCAUACUCUACUUGUUCCUCUUCACGUGUCUCAUUACUACGCACAACCACAUUUUCUCUCUUGUUUCCUUUUCUCAUUCCAAAUAAUUUAUAACCAAUCACAAAACAUUUAAAUUUGCAACUAGCUGACUCACACGAAACACUAACACUCACACAUUUCCUGUGACCUUACCUAUUCUUCACCGUACUUCCUCUUUGUAUAUAUAUAUAUAUAUAACUCAUCUUACUCUUCACUCUUAAAACUAAUUCUAUAGUUUUCACUUUUCCUCUGAAAAAAUUCAAAAUUCUUCUUCCUAUUCAGACACCCAUUUAUCUAAGUUCCUCUUCCUAUUCAUAUCCCAUUUCUAAAAAUUUCAAAAUUCAAAACCCCAUGUAUAUGUGUUUCAAGAAGAGGAACUUAGAUAAAUGUGUUUUUGAAAUGAGAGAAUUCGACAAAAAAACCGAAAAUUUGGCAAGGGAUUUUUCAAAUGAUGGCAACCCGCAGUCCGUUAUGCUUGUCUCAAAUUCAUAGAAAACUUUCAAGAUGAUGAGGGAUGCAGUGAUGGAUGCAGUUACAGAUAUGGUCAUUGCAAAGGUGAUUUCAUUUGUCGAUAACACAAACUCAAUAGAAUGAACCUAAUACAUAGCCAAAGUCAAAUAUUAGCCUAAAAUAGUUAUAAAUUUAAUACUCUAAAAUUCUUUUUCCCUCAUUUUACCCUUCAUUUAAAAGAAAAAAUAAAAUAAAGUUUUCUAUAUUCUGUGUAAUAUGUAAUAAUGAUAUAGCCAUUAUUUGUUAAAUUAAAUAUUUUGUAACAUUAAUUAUAAUUUAUCUAUUAACUAUAAUGGAUUGCUCAGUACUUAAACUCGAAAAUAAUAGGAUGGAGUAGGAAAUUCUUUAUUUAAUUAAAUAAAAUAAAAUAAAAAGUAUUCCUAAGUCGUUAAUGCAUCUUUAAUUGACGACGGUUUUUUCUAAAUAUAUACAUUUAAACCUGAAAAUUUUUUAUUGGAGAAAUCUUAAAUUUUAACUCUUGGACAGUAUGUAAUACACUAAAAAAGUUUGUUUUAAAAAUCAUCUUUUCUAAAAAUAUAUUUUAAUUUUAGAGAGUAACUUAUAGUCAUUUCCUCCCUAUUAGUUUAUCAUCUAACAUUAGGUGGACAAGCACACAUAUCAAUACAUGCUCGAAAGGCAGAUUGAAGUAGUGAGGUCAGAAUAUCAAAAUGUCUGUCUUAAGUAGAUUAAGAUCAGGACUAAGGAGCAGGGACAGAGUCACUUAUACUCUUAUGUAUGCAUAUGCCCCCAAUAACAUUUCACUUAUAUGUACUAAUAUAAAAUAUUGACAUGUAUAUAUAUUAUUUAUUUUUUAUAAUCAGCAAUAUAUUCAAAGAAAGGAGGGUCCAAGGGAAAUCCAAACCCAACAGGAUAAAAGAAAGAAAAACAUCACUAGGAUGUCAAACCACUAAUACAACACCGGCCCUUGACUAUCAAUCCCUACCAAAAAUCAAUUGGACUUUUAUACCAUCCAUAGUAAUUACACUUAGGCUUGUUCAUAAAAGUUAAAUUCAAGCACCACCAAGAGAAAUGAAUAACUCUAAGAAAAACUUCUUUUGGGACAACAACAAUAUCAUUGAAAAUCACCUGAUUUCUUGUCCACCAAAGACACCAAUAUGUUGCCAACCAGAUUAUGCAAGCAAUAGAUUUCGAUGUUUUCCCUAUCACUUUUAAGAACCAAGACAACAUAUGAUCAACACAAUUUGAAAUUAUUGGAAUACAAAUUCCCAACCAAUUCCCAACCAUUUCCAAACCAUUCUAGUUCUAGGACAGAUUAAAAAGACAUAGUCUGCUUCUUCGACUUCAUGAAAACAAAAAACACAAGCCUUGUCGUGUGAAUUUGAAAUCACGCCUAUAUCCCCAAGAUUUGACCGCGUAGGCAAACGAUUAAGAAGCACUCUCCAACCAAAAACUUUAACCUUCAAUGGGACCCUAUACACCCACAAAAUAUCUAAUGCCAACUUCAAAUUUGGUUGCAGAGGGAAGAAACCUGCAUCAUGGUUGAGAAUAUCAUAGCAGGAUUUUACGUAAAAAAUGUUGAAAGAACCUUUUGGCCAGCCAACAACAUCCUCUUGUCCACGAAUAGGUUUUGCUUCAUCCUGAAGCAAACCGAUGUCACGAGAGUCCUCUUCCACGCCACUAUCCAAUUCCAUGUUUAAACCCUCCAACUCCCACUACCAAUGAUCUCCCACUCACCUGCCACAGUCUAUAACCACAACAUGUUUAUUCCCCGAUACUUCAAACAAAUCAGAAAAAUGGCUCCUCAAUGGUGAAACACCUAACCAUUUAGAAUGCCAAAAAUAAGUAAAAGCACCACCCCCAACUUCCAAGACAACUGAUUAUAAAAACCUUCCUCUUGUAUUGAGUCUCCAAUCCCCAUGAUAUCCUUCCACCAUAUUGAUUCAAAGCUAGUUACGCUUUGGACAUCUUUAACAAGAACUCUUCUCCUCAAGUUACCGUAUUUUGCUUCAAGAAAUCCCACCCAAAUUGCAUUUGGAUCAUGGAUGAACCUCCAUAACCACUUAGAUAACAAAGCUCUAUUAAAAAUAGCCACAUCUUUAAUUCCUAACCCUCCAACAUCCUUUAGCUUGCAUACUAUAGACCAUCUCACGCACGACAUAUAAUAUUUAUCAGUCGAGCCAGCCCAUAAAAUUUCCCACUGAAUAGACUUUAUCUCCUUGAUCACUUUAACCGGGACUUUAUAGAAAUAAAGAUGGUGAAUAGGCAUAUUGGUUAACACCAAAUUAAUAAGCGCCACAUUUCCUCCAGUUGAUAAUAACAUGUCUUUCCAAGAGGAUAAUCUAGCCUUAAUACAGUCAAUAAUCAGUUUCCAAAAAUAAACCCUUCUAUGUUUACCUUCAAUAGUUAAACCAAGGAAUUUUAAAGGUAAUAAACCCUUCUUACAAGCAAAAAAUUUAGAAGCUUCCAUCAAGAACGAUUCUUCCACCCCAAUGCCAUACAAACAGUUUUUCCAGAAAUUUAUUUUCAAGCCAAAGAUCAAUUCAAAUCCUCUUAGAAUGGACUUUAAACCCCAUAGAUUUGACCAUGAAUUAUCGCAAGUUGUUGUCGUGUCAUCUGCAAAUUGCAAUAAAUUAACAGAAGUGUUGACAUUCAAAUUCACCCUCGUAAGCAUAUUUCUGUUAACAACCCUCAUAACCAAAUAAGCCAAACAUUCUGCCAUUAUAGAAAACAAAAAUGGAGAUAAUGGAUCUCCUUGUCGAAGCCCCAUCGUCACCUUAAAAUCUUUGGUUGUUCUCCCAUUAACCAACACAGAAAGAUAGCUAUUAAAAACCACUCCUUUCAUCCAUUGCAUCCACUUGACACUAAAGUUCAUUGCCAACAACACCUUCUGCAGCAGUCGUAUGCUUGAGCGAAGUCCACUUUGAGAAGUAGACAACUUUUCUUCUUCCUAAUUGCAAAGUCUAUGAGUUCAUUUUCCACGACAACUCCAUCUAGUAUUUGUCUCCCUAGUAUGAAUGUUGUUUGAGAAGUUGAGACAAGUUUACCAAUAACCAAACUCAAUCUUGUAGCCAACAGUUUCAGCACUACCUUGUAAAUGCAUCCUAUUAAGCUAAUAGGCCUGAAUUCUUCCAGGUUUUGAGGAUUUUCUCGUUUAGGUAUUAACGUAAUGAGGAACACAGAGCUUUUGGCAAGAAAGCAGUCUGAUGGAACUCUUGAAUUUAAUUUACUACAUUAACAUCAAUUACCCCUAACACUUCUUAAUGAAAACCAUAUUAAAAUCAUCGGGUUCUGGGCUUUUAUUCCCAUCGCAGCCAUUCAUAACCUUGAGAAUCUCCUCACCAGUGAAAGGCUCUUGUAACCUUACAUUAUCAUCAGAAGAAAGCUUAGGAAAUUCAGAUAAAUCCAAACCUGGCCUACACGAAUCAAGGUUCUAGAACGUGGCAGCAAAAUAAUCCUUUAUGGUUUUCUUUACAUUGGUAACAUCAUCCACACCAACAGUUCCAAUAAUCUGACCCGAGAUUGCAUUCACCUUCAACCUAGUUUUAACCAUGGAAUGAAAAAACCUAGAAUUUGAAUCUCCUUCUUUCACCCAUUUCAUUCUAUAUUUCUGGUUCAAAAAGCUUUCCUUGAGAUGUAAUUUAUUCCAAAUUUCCAAUUGAGCCUCACUCCCCCUCUUUAAAUCUUCCUCAGAGAAAGCCUCACCACAAUCUACCAUUUCAGCGUCAAUGCUAUUAAAAACCCUCACCCCUUCAUCAAUCCUCAAGUCCACCCAACCGAAAACAUGAUUAUUCCACCAUCUUAAUUUCUCCCUAAGGCCCUUAAGUUUUGCUACAAGAAUAUUACUUGCAUUGUAAGACACGUGAAUGGAGUCUCGAGAUACUUUAACAAAGUUGAUAAAAUCAGGAUGAUCAAACCAAACAUCAAAUUUUUUGAACGGUUUUGGCCCCCAAUCCACAUUAUUUGAGAGGAGGCAAAUCGGCAUAUGAUCUGAAACAUCUAUAUCUCCCACCUUUUGAGCCACCACAUUCCACUUCCUAAUCAAUUGAUCAGACAAGAGAAUUUUGUCAAGUCUGCUCUUGCAAGUACUAAUAGAAUUGAACCAAGUGAACUUAUUCCCCACAACAGGAAUAUCAAAAAGUUCCAUUAUAUCAAUGAAAGAGGAAAACUCUUCCAUAUCCACUGAUCUUAACCUACCAUUCCCCUUCCUCUCCAAUUCUAACUUCAUUGCAUUAAAAUCUCCUCCAAUCAACCAUUCCCCCAAAAGAAGACUGGAUUUCAAUCUAAUCAAUUGUGACCAAAGAAACCUUUUUUCCACAAGGCUACAAUAGGAAUAUACAUUAAUUAUAUAGCAAUUUGUACCUUUCCGCACCCCCUUGAUCCCUAAAAAACCAUUUCCUUUCAAGCUAAACAAUGGGCAAAACACUGUUUUCUUCCAAAUUGACAAAAUGCCCCCAGAUUGACCAACAAAACCUGAAGUAGACCAUUCAAAAUCAUAAUUUCCCCAUAAACCCCUUACCAACUUGUCAUCUACUACCUGAGUUUUCGUUUCCUGCAGCAAACAAAAAUCUGCUUUUCCACAAGAAACCAUUUGACACACUCUUCUUCUCUUAAUAGAAGAGCCACACCCAUGAACGUUGAAAGUCAUGAGAUUCAUGGAACCCUGAUUUCAACCUCCCUCUUAUCCUUGAAAAAUAUUCUAUCUCUUGACUCCAAAUCUCUAAUGAUACUUUCAAAAACUUUGUCAUUCUUAUCCCCUUUUAACCCCAGUUCUUUAAUAGAAUUCCAAACUUUUGCCGGAACAUCAUCCAAAAAAAUUUAACUCGAUCAUUUCGUUGGUUGACAUCAGUAUCAGUGAUAGAUUUGUUGGUGUAAGCCCUAGACGCCAAUACUUUUGGUACUUGUAUCGAAUUAUUUAUUAAUAAUAAAAGGCUUUUUCCUUAUUAGGUUUGUUUAAUAAAGUCCCUAGAAUAGCUAGUCCGUUUAAUGUAUCAAGUGUGACUUAAUCAUGAGAUCACAUUAAACAUAAGAACACUAUUCUUAAAGUAUCUGUAGUCGAGCUUUAUUGUGAAGUGGGAUAACAUUAAAGCAUUAAGACUAUUAUGUAUAUAGACUGAUGAUCACAUCUCAUGGAUCAUGGAUAAGGAGUUAUCAAAUCUUAAACAUAUGUAUGAAUAUUAAGAGUAAUAUUUAUACUGGAUUGACCCGCUAUGAGAAUAUUAUAUAGAAUGUUAUGCAAAGUGUCAUAAGUUAUUCUCAUGGUGAUAAUGGUGUAUACCACCCUUCGACCUGAAACCACUAUGGACCCUAGAUGUAGAGUCGAGAACCUUAUUGUUGAUCAAACGUUGUCCGUAACUGGAUGACCAUAAAGACAGUUGAUGGGUACUCCACAAAGCAUGCUAAGGGACAUGAGUGACCUAGAUGGAAUUUGCCCAUCCUGCUUAACAGGAUAAAUGUCUAUGGGCCCAAUAUUGAACUGGACAAGGAUGACACGGUCUAUGCCUUGUGUUCAAUAUAGACAUAAGGACAAAAGGGUAAUUAUACACAUAAGUAUUAUCACAAAAGGAUUUGUCAGAUCAUAUGACAUUUUCGUGUCUUGGGUAGCAGUGAUGUGUUGCUAGAUACCGCUCAUUGUUUAUUAUGUUAAAUAUGUGAUUUAAUAUAAUUGUCAAUGCCGCGAAAACCUACAGGGUCACACAUAAAAGGACGGAUUGAUGAGAGAUAGAGUAACUAAGGAACAUCGUAAGGUACUGUGCAUUUAAGUGAAUUGUAGAACAUCGUAAGGUACGGCGUACUUAAGUAGAAUACGAAAUAUGGUAAGGUACCACGCGCUUAAGUGAUUUUGGAAUAUUAUAAGAUAUGGGCCACAUACACUUGAGUGGGCUUUUUAGCUUGCAGCCCAUACAAGUGGUUCUAUAAAUAUAACCCUUGUGUAGAAGCAUUUGUGCAGUUGCAAUUUCGUUUCUCUCUCUCUCACUCAAAGCCUUCAUUCGUAGCAGCUAGCACUGAGAUUGAAGGAAUCCGUUCGUGUGGACUGAGUAGAGGCGUUGUCAUCAUUCAACGUUCGUGAUCGCUCCGUAGAUCUGCAUCAAAGGUUACAAUCGCCACAAGAGGUAACGAUUCUAUCACUGAUCAUGCUCAUUCGUAAGGAUCACUAAAGGAGAAAUUAUAAAUUCCGCUGCGUUUUGGAUCGCUCUUCUCCUUCAGUGGUAUCAGAGCCACUUACGAAACCAUGCAUCUGAUAGCUGUUUAUUUUCUAUAUUUUCUGUAUUAAUACGAUUAAAAGACCGAAUGAAUCAAAGAAUAAACGAGUAAUUAAAUUUGCCAUCAUGUGUGUACGAUUUGGAUGAUUGAUGUUGACUAUGCUUCGGAAUCCGACAUUAGUAUGGUGAAGCAGCGAUACAUCAAUCGUCCAUAGGUUAUGCAAUUGAGAUCGAUCAAGUUAUAUAUAUGAUAUAAGUAAUCUUGAUGCAAAAUACGGUAUAUAUGAUAUAUUGUUUCUGUUUCGUUCAUUCAAACACUUAAUGGUUGUUUUCCUUUGGGCGAUCAAUGGUCGUUUGCUUCUUGAUCCGACAUUAGUAUGGUGAAGCAAUGACGUGUUGAUCAAUCAUACUGAGCCCACAAUCGAGGUGUAUUUGACGGUCUGAAAUUGGUGCAUUAGGGUUAAUGACGGCGAAAGGGUUGUGUUGUCAAAGAGUUAUGCGAUUAGGGUUGUGACUGCGCAAGAGUUGUGCUUUAAAGUAUCAAGUGUUGAUGCGAAAAACGACGUCGAUUUCAAAUGAAUUGUUCAUUAAAAAUUUCGGCCAGGGGCGCUUCCCUCUUGACCCUCGUCCGCUGAUCGGUCAGCGGAACCACCGUCCGCUGAUCAGUCAGUGGAACCCCUGUUCCGCUGACCGGGCAGCGGGCCCCCGGCUAACUCUGCGUAGUGUGAUCGUUCGCCGAAAUUUAAUUUGGUUUUAAUUAAUUAAAAGAAUUAAAAUUAAUAAUAAUAAUGUGUUUAUUAUUAUUGUCUUGUGGUGAUCGGUUAUGGCCUUAGUUUUCCUUUAUUUUAUUUUGGGUUUUUAAAAUACGACAUGCGUGUCGUGCCUCUCUUUUAAUCUCUUAAUGUACCUUCUUUUCUCAUCUCACUCCCUCGUAUGUAAAACGAGUUUCUUUUAUGUAAUGUAAUGUUAUGAAGAAAGAGAAGAAUUCAAUAUCAAAGGAGGACAACCUUGAAGAUCUUGCUUGGAGAAGCUUAGAUCGUUAUUAGGUUAGCUUAGGUUCUCUCAUUGGCUUGGGAGAACAAUUGCGCUAGGGGCCAUAACUGUUUUAUUAUGUAUGUUGAUGUCUGUGAAUAUAUGUUGAUGCAUGUGAGAGACGAUUUAUAUGAUAAAUAAGCCGGUGAGAUCAGAAUAAUUUCAAAUUCCCUCAAAUUAAAUAUUAAGUUUAUGCUUUCCAAGUUUUAGCACUCAUCAAGACUAGUAUCGAAUAAUGUAGGUUUCGCCUAUGCAAGGUGCAUGUUCUAUAUUAUUAAGGUGCGAUGAGAUAAUUGUAAUAUCCAAUUGCUAAAACAAUGGGUCAAAAUUAACUAAACAAAUUAUAAUAAGAUUAUAUAUGUUUAGAAGCAAGAGUUGGAAAUGAUCCAUGUGAUGGAUUGGAAUAAGGAGUUAUUCACCCAACUAAAAUAUUCGAGAGUUGUAUUAGAUACAAUUGGAAGGAGUUCCUACCUAAAUAACCUAGUUUUGUGUAAUCCGCCUACGUGGACUUAAAACAAAGUGAAAUGUGGAUCUCGACCCACUAGAAAAUCUUCCAACGGGAUUUUCCGAAUCAAAUGGUGAGGGUCAUUUGUUUUGAGUAAAAUAGUUGUAGCAUAUUUAAUUAAAGGCCUAAUUAAAUAUGUUUUUGAUACUUAUAUUUUUCAUUAUUUUCAUGUAGAUUACCAUGACAACAAACACCUCUAACAACAUUUUGCGAUCAAUCCUUGACAAGGAAAAAUUGUCUGGGACAAAUUUUCUGGAUUGGCACCGAAAUUUGAGGAAUUUCCUCAAACAUGAUAGAAAGUUGUAUGUCUUGGAGAAACCUGUUCCUGAAGAGGGACCUCCUAGUUCUGCACCUAAGGCAGAAAGAGAUGCUUAUAAGAAGCAUGUCGAUGAUGCCAAUGAAAUUGCUUGUCUCAUGCUAGCUACCAUGAACUCAAAGUUGCAAAAGCAACAUGAGAACAUGGCAGCGUUCGAUAUGAUCGAACACCUGAAGAUGCUCUAUCAGGAGCAAGCAAGGCAUGAAAGGUUUGAAGUUUCAAAAGCCCUUUUUCAAGGCAAGUUAGCUGAGGGAGCCCUUGUAGGUCCCCAUGUGCUCAAGAUGAUUGGGUAUGUGGAAAACCUUGAGAGGUUGGGUUUUCCCCUCAGAAAGGAACUUGCGACUGAUUUGAUCUUGCAAUCAUUGCCAGAUAUAUUCAGUCAAUUUGUCCUAAAUUUCAAUAUGAAUGAUAUGGACAAAUCUCUUCCUGAACUGCUAGCCAUGUUAAGAACUGCUGAGCAGAAUCUGAAGUCAAAAGGGAAGUCCAUUCUGAUGAUCGGAAAUGGAAAGAGACAGAACAAAAGACCCACCAAGAAGGGUGAUAAAGGGAAAGGCAAGGAAGUUUCCAAACCCAAACCCAUUGUUGCUGCUUUAAAGCCUAGUGGAGGCAUAGCAAAGGAAGGCACCUGCUUCCAUUGCGGUAAGAUCGGACACUGGAAGAGAAACUGCCCAAAGUACCUGGAAGAUAAGAAGAAUGGAGUAGAGACUUCAACUUUAGGGGCUAAAAAGGAGUAGAGAUUUGGCAAAAGGUGAAGUUGACCUACGAGUUGACAAUGGAGCAAAGGUUGCUGCUUUAGCCGUAGGAGCUUAUGUAUUGACUUUACCUAGUGGUUUAAUAAUUCAGUUAGAGAACUGUUAUUAUGUACCUGCAAUUAGCAGGAAUAUUAUUUCCGUUUCUGUCUGGACAAGUUUGGUUUUUCAUUUAUAAUAAAGAACAAUUAUUGCUCAAUUUAUUUGAAUGAUAUAUUUUAUGCUACUGCACAAAUGAACAAUGGACUAUAUGUCCUUGACCUUGAAAUGCUUAUUUAUAACAUUAAUACUAAAAGGAUGAAACCUAAUGAGUUAAAUCCAACUUACCUUUGGCAUUGUCGAUUAGGCCACAUAAAUGAGAAACGCAUUUCCAAACUCCAUAAAGAUGGACUCUUGGACUCUUUUGAUUAUGAAUCAUAUGAGACAUGCAGAUCUUGUUUAAUUGGAAAGAUGACGAAGUCUCCAUUCAUAGGAAAAGGUGAAAGAGCUAAUGAUCUUUUGGCCCUCAUACAUAUUGAUGUAUGUGGACCACUGGACAUACCAGCCAGAGGAGGUUUUCAAUACUUCAUCACAUUUACUGAUGAUUUCAGUAGAUAUGGUUAUGUGUAUUUAAUGAAACACAAAUCAGAGUCCUUUGAAAAGUUCAAGGAAUUCAAGAAUGAAGUACAAAACCAACUAGGUAAGAAUAUUAAAACUCUUCGAUCAGAUCGAGGUGGUGAGUAUUUAAGCCUAGAGUUUGAUGACCAUCUGAAAGAGUGUGGGAUCCUAUCCCAACUUACUCCUCCUGGAACACCCCAAUGGAAUGGUGUAUCUGAGAGAAGAAAUCGAACCCUGUUAGACAUGGUCCGAUCCAUGAUGAGUCACGCCGAUCUUCCAAACUCCUUUUGGGGACAUGCAUUAUUAACAACAGCUUACACACUUAACCGUGUUCCAUCCAAAAAGGUUGAGAAGACACCAUGUGAGAUAUGGAGUGGUAAGAAACCACAUAUGUCUUACAUGAAGAUUUGGGGUUGCGAAGUUUAUGUGAAAUGACAAAUUUCAACUAAGCUUGAGCCCAAAUCUGAAAUUUCUUAUUUGUGGGGUAUCCUAAAGAAACAAGAGGGUAUUACUUCUACAAUCCUUCUGAGGGCAAAGUGUUUGUCGCUCGAACUAGAGUUUUCCUAGAAAAGGAUUUUAUUUCCAAAGGUAUUAGUGGGAGGAAAUUAGAGCUUGAAGAAAUUCAAGAAUCACAAAGUAUUGAUACACCUAUAGAGGAAUUAGAGCAGGAAACGCAAGUAGUUGUGGAAGAGCAACCUGCUCAAGUAGAACAAGACCAGCGUAGGUCAAGCAGGAUACGUCACCUACCUGAGAGAUAUGGAUAUCUCAUAACUGAUCAAGGUGAUGUAUUACUCAUGGAUCAAGAUGAGCCUGUGACCUACCAAGAGGUCAUAACUGGUCCCGAGUCUGAGAAGUGGCUAGAAGCCAUGAAAUCUGAAAUGGAUUCCAUGUACACAAACCAUGUUUGGACCUUGGUAGAGCCUUUUGUAGGAGUUAACCCUAUAAGAUGCAAGUGGGUCUUCAAAAAGAAGACUAACAUGGAUGGUAAGGUACAUACCUAUAAGGCAAGAUUGGUUGCAAAAGGAUAUAAAACAAAUUCAUGGGGUUGACUAUGAUGAAACCUUUUCACCAGUUGCAAUGCUUAAAUCUGUUCGGAUUUUACUUGCUAUCGUUGCAUAUCAUGAUUAUGAAAUAUGGCAGAUGGAUGUCAAAACU